rnacentral:lncRNA from 1 species
AUCAACUUUAAUUUUAGGAGGAACGAUAUUUCGACAGUUAUACCUGGAACUCAGUGAAACUGAUAGCAUAAAAUUGACAUUCAGAAUAAACUGUUAGAGAAGAUGAUUUAUUUGUGGCAGGAGAUAUAGCAGUUGCUCGUUAAAAACAGAUAUCGCUCAACAGAUGGGGAAUCAAAUCACAAUCUAAGCUAUGUGCUCUCUCAUCCCCGAUCCUAGUUCAGAUGCCUUUUCUAGCAAAAUUAUCGCUCAAUUGACGUAGAAAAGGGUAAAACUUUGAACCUUACCAUGAUGAGAAGAAACUCGAAGAUGAGCAAUUGUCGUCAAUGGAGGUGAUGAGCAGCUUCGUUCGCUAAUUGAUGAAUUUUAGGAGUAGAGCAAUUUCUCUAAUUAUUUGAACUCGUCCUAGCUGUUCUCUGCUAUUCGUUCAAAACAGAGGUUUAUGAUGGAAUUGUUAGAGAAGUCGACAUUUCAGGCUUUUUAGGUUUAUACGAACUGUUAGAGAAUCGGUCGAUAUCUUGGGGCUUUUUCCUUUUUUUGGGGGUGGGGGNNN